GGCAAGAUGGCCGAGCGGUCCAAGGCGCCAGAUUAAGGUUCUGGUCUCGAGAGGGGCGUGGGUUCAAAUCCCACUCUUGUCA
rfam:Blastomyces gilchristii SLH14081 genomic scaffold supercont1.3, whole genome shotgun sequence.